rnacentral:rRNA from 1 species
UACGUAGGGUGCAAGCGUUGUCCGGAAUUAUUGGGCGUAAAGAGCUCGUAGGCGGUCUGUCGCGUCGGCUGUGAAAACUUGGGGCUCAACCCCAAGCCUGCAGUCGAUACGGGCAGACUAGAGUGUGGUAGGGGAGACUGGAAUUCCUGGUGUAGCGGUGAAAUGCGCAGAUAUCAGGAGGAACACCUGUGGUGUAGACGGCUUUCUGGACCAUAGCUGACGCUGAGACACGAAAGCGUGGGUAGCAAACAGG